ACCAGGUCUUGACAUCCUUUGACCACUCUAGAGAUAGAGCUUUCCCUUCGGGGACAAAGUGACAGGUGGUGCAUGGUUGUCGUCAGCUCGUGUCGUGAGAUGUUGGGUUAAGUCCCGCAACGAGCGCAACCCUUAUUGUUAGUUGCCAUCAUUUAGUUGGGCACUCUAGCGAGACUGCCGGUGACAAACCGGAGGAAGGUGGGGAUGACGUCAAAUCAUCAUGCCCCUUAUGACCUGGGCUACACACGUGCUACAAUGGGAAGUACAACGAGUUGCGAAGUCGCGAGGCUAAGCUAAUCUCUUAAAGCUUCUCUCAGUUCGGAUUGUAGGCUGCAACUCGCCUACAUGAAGCCGGAAUCGCUAGUAAUCGCGGAUCAGCACGCUGCGGUGAAUACGUUCCCGGGUCUUGUACACACCG
rnacentral:rRNA from 1 species